CCUACGGGCGGCAGCAGUGAGGAAUAUUGGUCAAUGGACGCAAGUCUGAACCAGCCAUGCCGCGUGCAGGAAGACGGCUCUAUGAGUUGUAAACUGCUUUUGUACGAGGGUAAACGCAGAUACGCGUAUCUGUCUGAAAGUAUCGUACGAAUAAGGAUCGGCUAACUCCGUGCCAGCAGCCGCGGUAAUACGGAGGAUUCAAGCGUUAUCCGGAUUUAAUGGGUUUAAAGGGUGCGUAGGCGGUCGGAUAAGUUAGAGGUGAAAUCCCGAGGCUCAACUUCGGAAUUGCCUCUGAUACUGGUCGGCUAGAGAGUAGUUGCGGUAGGCGGAAUGUAUGGUGUAGCGGUGAAAUGCUUAGAGAUCAUACAGAACACCGAUUGCGAAGGCAGCUUACCAGGCUACUUCUGACGUUGAGGCACGAAAGCGUGGGGAGCAAACAGGAUUAGAUACCCCUGUAGUC
rnacentral:rRNA from 1 species